rnacentral:lncRNA from 1 species
UACCUAUAUUUGAACACGAUGAAGUUCAAACUGUCCCAGAGAUCGACCUGUCCCAUCUCUAGAAAUAAAAGUAUUCUGUACUUGACCACAACAUCUGACCCAUCACUGCUGGGAUCCCUGAGGUGGAAGAAAAAUCUGUGCCACACGCUUGCGAAUUACCUUAUUUUUUACGCCGUAGACAAUAGCGUUGAGUGCAGGUGGCACGAGGCGGUAGACAGUAGACAGAAGGAUGUGUGUCGAGGGGACAGCGUGUCCAAGCCGAUGGCUGAAGAAGGAGAAGAAGGCAAGGGUGUAAAACUCGAGGAACACAGAGAUGUGAGCUGCGCACGUAUGGACUGCUUUGAGCCUCGCCUCCUUUCGGUGUAGACGAGAAACAGCCUGGAGAAUAAGGAUGUAGGAUAAAAAUCAUGUCACAUCCUAGAAUGGUGAAGCCCACAGAAAGACCACAGGCUUUAUUGAUGUGGUGUCCUGUGCAGCCAGCCUGGCCACAGCCAUGUGCUCACAGUAAGAGUGGGCGCUGACCGUGGAAUGGAAGCGGCGCAGUCUUGUGAUGAGAACGGGCAGCAGGCUGACCAGCGCUGUAGCUCGGAUGACCACUCAGGCGACUCAGGAUGACGGCGUGAGGAUGGACGUGCGCCUCAGAGGAUCGCAGACGGCAACACAGCGGCCAAAGGCCAUGGCCAGCAGGAUGCCAGACGCCACGCCCUGCAAGGUGUGGAUGCAGAAGAGCUGGGCCAAGCAGGCAUCGAAGGCCGUGGUACAAGAGCCAAACCAGAAGAGAGCCACCAUCUUGGGAGCAGUGGCUGCACAGAGCCCCGGGUCAGUGGCUGCCACAGGGCCAGGAAUACGUACCUGGGCUGGUGCAGGCUGCGUUCUGUGGGGAUGGUGAUGAGUAACGUGCUGUUUCCCCAAAGAGCCCCGAGGCACACAGCAAAGAAGGGAAACCCAAUCCAAAACUGCACUGCUCUAGUCCAGGCAUGCCAAUUAGUGUCACUGUUUGGGGGUCCAGAUAUGACAUAUUAAUGGGUGCCAUGGAUGUUAGCGAUCUUUCUUUUCACAGCUGAAUCUCAUACCUGCAGAAGAAAAUGAAUAAGAAAUGAAAGAGGACACAGACCUCACUAUCCUGCAGACGUACUGAACAUUGGAGAGUACGUUCAGGGCUUCCCUUUGUGGCUCAGCAAGUUAAGAACGCAUCCUCUGUGAGGAUGUGGGUUCCAUCCCUGGCCUCCCUCAGAGGGUUAAGAGUCCAGCGUUGCUGUAGGCUAGGACGUAGGUCUCAGCUGUGGCUCGAAUCUAGCAGUGCUGUGCGUGGGUCGGCAGCUGCAGCUCGCUUUCAUCCCUUAGCGUGGGAACUUCCUUGUGCUGCAGGUGUGUGGCCUUAAAAGGAAAAAAUAGGAAAUAAGCUCACUACAUUCAGUGACAACCAGACCCGGCCAGACCAUCCAGAGACUCUGUGCCAGAUGACAGGAUGGCAGAAGGAAACUGUCCUACGAAAACUUUACUAGAGCCAACAGGGGAAAUUUUCAGCAUUUCUCACUUACCAUUUGUGUGAACAGAAACCGUGAUUCUGAUAGCACUCACUUUGGCAUUUUUCAUGGCCUCAGGCUGGACUGUCUGAAAAACGAUCCCGCUCUCCCUCUUUAUGUAUCUCUCGAGCCUCCCUGAUUUUGCUAUAAAUUCAGAUUCCCCCUGGGGUCCUUAAGGACCCAGAAGGGGCCGUUUCUCCUGCCCAUGUGCAUUCGUACCCAGCCCUGCUGGGAAUCUGACCCUCACCACUCCACCCCUGGUCCCGGAGAGCGCGUUACAGCCUCCCUGAGCCACUGACGUUGGUUCCCAUUGGGGAUUGGUAGGAGUUUAGCUGUCUUAUAUUCACUUACUCUGUCAUCAAGACGCUUAACAGGUUGCUCUUUGGCAGGGCAUUGAGCAUGGCCCUUGGAGACUUGAAGAGAGUGGUCUGUUUUUAAAGGCAGCCAGGGGUGGUUAGUUCUCCAAACUACUUAUGCUUCAUUUAUGUCUAGAAUGGAUUUGUUGCAUGAAAUAGAGAAAGUGACAUAUGGAGAAUUUUUUACAGAGGGGCUUAGGACAUUUAAAAGGGAAACAGAAAUAUUUCAGGAAGCGUAACAGCUAAAAGUAGGAGAGGAUCAAGUCAAAAGCAAAACUGAGCUCAUUGGAGGUGACAUACAGCUGGAUGUGCAUGAUGAUGCUUUUCCCCCAAAAGGCAGAAGUUGCUGGAUCACUCAGGUUGUAUAUCCUUCUGCUCUACACAGUGGGGGCCCUACUUUUCUUUGUAAUAGCUUUAUGCUUUACUAACUGUGCUAUUUCUCUCAACUCUGCACUAUCCUAUGAUUCAUUAACUAUGGUUUGAAUUUUUAAGCAUUUUUGAAUAUGAUGACCAGCUUUUUAUUUUUUUAUUGAAGUAUAGUUAAUUUACAAUUUUGUGCCAAUUUCAGCUGUGCAGCAAACUGACCUUGAGAUAGAUAGAUAGAUAUGUAUGUGUAUAUAUGUAUAUUCCUUUUCUUGGAGUUCCCGUCGUGGCGCAGUGGUUAACGAAUCCGACUAGGAACCAUGAGGUUGCGGGUUCGAUCCCUGCCCUUGCUCAGUGGGUUAACGAUCUGGCGUUGCCAUAAGCUGUGGUAUAGGUUGCAGACACGGCUCGGAUCCUGUGUUGCUGUGGCUCUGGCGUAGGCUGGCGGACUACAGCUCCGAUUAGCCCCCUAGCCUGGGAACCUCCAUAUGCUGCGGGAGCGGCCCAAGAAAUAGC